UUUAUGGAGAGUUUGAUCCUGGCUCAGGACGAACGCUGGCGGCGUGCCUAAUACAUGCAAGUCGAGCGGAUCUGAUGGAGUGCUUGCACUCCUGAUGGUUAGCGGCGGACGGGUGAGUAACACGUAGGUAACCUGCCUGUAAGACUGGGAUAACAUUCGGAAACGAAUGCUAAUACCGGAUACGCGAAUUGGUCGCAUGGCCGAUUCGGGAAAGACGGAGCAAUCUGUCGCUUAUAGAUGGACCUGCGGCGCAUUAGCUAGUUGGUGAGGUAACGGCUCACCAAGGCGACGAUGCGUAGCCGACCUGAGAGGGUGAUCGGCCACACUGGGACUGAGACACGGCCCAGACUCCUACGGGAGGCAGCAGUAGGGAAUCUUCCGCAAUGGGCGAAAGCCUGACGGAGCAACGCCGCGUGAGUGAUGAAGGUUUUCGGAUCGUAAAGCUCUGUUGCCAGGGAAGAACGCUUGGGAGAGUAACUGCUCCCAAGGUGACGGUACCUGAGAAGAAAGCCCCGGCUAACUACGUGCCAGCAGCCGCGGUAAUACGUAGGGGGCAAGCGUUGUCCGGAAUUAUUGGGCGUAAAGCGCGCGCAGGCGGUUAAU
rnacentral:rRNA from 1 species